rnacentral:rRNA from 1 species
UACGGAAGGUGCGAGCGUUAAUCGGAAUUACUGGGCGUAAAGCGCACGUAGGUGGUUUUAUAAGUCGGAUGUGAAAGCCCCGGGCUUAACCUGGGAAUUGCAUCUGAUACUGUCUGACUAGAGUAUGCUAGAGGGAAGUGGAAUUCCAGGUGUAGCGGUGAAAUGCGUAGAUAUCUGGAGGAACACCAAUGGCGAAGGCGGCAUUCUGGACUGUAACUGACACUGAGGAACGAAAGCCAGGGGAGCAAACGGG